GACGUAGGGCGCGAGCGUUGUCCGGAUUUAUUGGGCGUAAAGAGCUCGUAGGCGGCUUGUUGCGUCGACUGUGAAAACCCGCGGCUUAACUGCGGGCUUGCAGUUGAUACGGGCAGGCUAGAGUUCGGUAGGGGAGACUGGAAUUCCUGGUGUAGCGGUGGAAUGCGCAGAUAUCAGGAGGAACACCAAUGGCGAAGGCAGAUCUCUGGGCCGUAACUGACGCUGAGGAGCGAAAGCAUGGGGAGCGAACAGG
rnacentral:rRNA from 1 species